rnacentral:rRNA from 1 species
UGAGUAACCUGCCCUUAACUCUGGGAUAAGCCUGGGAAACUGGGUCUAAUACCGGAUAUGACUCCUCAUCGCAUGGUGGGGGGUGGAAAGCUUUUGUGGUUUUGGAUGGACUCGCGGCCUAUCAGCUUGUUGGUGAGGUAAUAGCUCACCAAGGCGAUGACGGGUAGCCGGCCUGAGAGGGUGACCGGCCACACUGGGACUGAGACACGGCCCAGACUCCUACGGGAGCAG